rnacentral:rRNA from 1 species
AGGACCGCCGUAAUGAUUAAUAGGGACAGUCGGGGGCAUCAGUAUUCAAUUGUCAGAGGUGAAAUUCUUGGAUUUAUUGAAGACUAACUACUGUGAAAGCAUUUGCCAAGGAUGUUUUCAUUAAUCAGGAACGAAAGUUAGGGGAUCGAAGACGAUCAGAUACCGUCGUAGUCUUAACCAUAAACUAUGCCGACUAGGGAUCGGACGAUGUUAUUUUUUGACGCGUUCGGCACCUUACGAGAAAUCAAAGUGCUUGGGCUCCAGGGGGAGUAUGGUCGCAAGGCUGGAACUUAAAGAAAUUGACGGAAGGGCACCACCAGGGGUGGAGCCUGCGGCUUAAUUUGACUCAACACGGGGAAACUCACCAGGUCCAGACACAAUGAGGAUUGACAGAUUGAGAGCUCUUUCUUGAUUUUGUGGGUGGUGGUGCAUGGCCGUUCUUAGUUGGUGGAGUGAUUUGUCUGCUUAAUUGCGAUAACGAACGAGACCUUAACCUGCUAAAUAGCCCGUAUUGCUUUGGCAGUACGCUGGCUUCUUAGGGGGACUAUCGGCUCAAGCCGAUGGAAGUUUGAGGCAAUAACAGGUCUGUGAUGCCCUUAGAUGUUCUGGGCCGCGCGCGCGCUACACUGACGGAGCCAGCGAGUACUCCCUUGGCCGGAAGGCCCGGGUAAUCUUGUUAAACUCCGUCGUGCUGGGGAUAGGGCA